UGCUGCUGACACCUUUAAUAUGGAGUGAAAAACAGAAGAAGGACCCUCUCCCUUCUGAUUUGUUUUCUUGAGCUUAUAAUUUUAAAAUAUCUUCUUACAGGAGCCCUUCUACGUGAACUGUCAACGAAGUAGAAGUCAAGCAAAGGGGACUUGCUGCCUGCCACGUCUGCCUCCUUCUGUGAAAUCACAACAAUGCAACCAGGAAUAGUUGAUAAUUUCCUUUUAAAACUUGGAUACUUGGACCACAAAAGAAAAUCUCAAGAGACUUUGACUUGAGGCACCAUUUCCACAUGGGUUGAAGGAUUUCAGGAAGAGUCCCAAGUAGGGCAACCAGAUCUGCUAAGAGGAUGUCACUGCUGUUUCUGGACCCAGGGAAAUGACAUCAGGGAAAAGGGAAGAGGCAGAGGCUCAAAUGUACUUUAGAAACCUGUGGCCCGAUGCAUCGCUUGAAAAUUUUUAUGCAUCUGCGGGCUGGAGUGCUGUGGGAGAAAUAAAAAUGGGAGGAAUGCCACAAAGGACCAUGUUAGAACUUAACACAACUGUUCUAUAAAUUAUGGUGAUAAAACAAAUACUGCUGAUACUGAUGAUAAUGAUAAAUGCUUUAAUCAGUUUUACUAAAGCACUUUAAAUCUUGUGGGACAGAUGGGAGAAUAAAGCUUGUUGUUGGAACCUUGA